GGUAGGGCAGCCGGUCUCCCAGAUACUGAAAUUACGUCGGCGCCCUCCUUUAGGGCGAGGCGCCGGACACCCGGAGGGGCCGCCGCUAGGGCGACUUGAGCCUCCGCCCCACCUGCACCCACCCAGCGCACCCCUGGCGGCGCCACCCGCCCCAACCCUUGUAGUCUGCCCCAGAGGCAGGGUCUCUGACCUCAGGCUCUCGGGAAGCGACCUGGGCAGCCCCCUGGGGUUCGCUAUCUUAAUGAGUCUCGUGCGCUGAGAUAAAAGGCCCGAGAAGGGUUUUCAUCAUCUCCAGUAAGGAUCGAGCCCCGCUGCCGCUACCGAUUUGGGAAAUACCUGUUUUCCCCCCUUUGCACAUAAAGGCUAUCCUAGCCCUGAGUCUGGCUAGUAAGGACGCGUGAGUGAGCUUUGAAAGUGGGUCUCGGCCGGGAGCGGUGGCUCACGCCUGUAAUCCAGCUCUUUGGGAGGCCGACCCUGCAGUAUCAUUUCUGCCUCUGGUGCCCACUACAUUUGGGUUAGUUUGCGGCUUGUUCUAGGCUGCUCUUCCAGAUAACGUUUAUUUAUAACUACAUAGAGACUUUGGAGUGUCACGACAGUUCCGUAUCAGGAGUGAAUUGAAGAAGAGAAGCAGUGGGAACCCCGUAAGCAGGAUCUCAGUAAGAGGAGCUAAUAAAGUGAGCCCAGGAGUCUGAGGUUGAGCAGAGCCAUGAUCAUGCCCCCGCACUCCAGCAUGGGCGAUAGAGCCAGACCCUGUCGCGGAAAGUAAGAAGAGGGAGAGGAGGAGGAAUUAACCCAAAAGGAUUUUCCUGGCAGUGGAACAUCUUUCAUCCAAGGGGUUCAAAGAACUCAGCAAUUAUGACUCAUUGUUCCUUAAAAUACCUUUAUAAAACUGGAGGUGACAAGCAUUGAGGUAAACUUGUUACAGGACUUUCCAGAUUAAGUGAUUCCUGGCAAAGAAACAAAAGCAAAAUUGUCCUGUUCCCCAGUGGAUAUGGAUUCAAACUGGAAAUAAAAUCAGGGGUCUAUCAUAAUCCUAUCUGUGUUUUGGAAAGAAAACUCUUGAGGCAGUGCCAAGAAUGGAUCUGAAGAGGGCAGAAAAAAACAAAGGGAAAUCAUUGAAGAAAUUGUUUUCAUAGUCACAGUAAAAACUGAUGGGGUCCGAAAUCAAGUUGUUACAGCAAUCUGAGAGGCUUAGGAGAUAUUUUGGAGGGAUGAUUAGCAAACUUUGAGCCCAGCUGGAUAUGGGCAGUGAGGAACAAGAAACAAAGCUGUUUCAGGUUUCUAGGUUUGGCAAUCAAUGUAAGAAGGUGCUACUAAUUAAACAGGGAAUAGUGGACAAGCAGGUUUAGUGGCGUACAAAUGUUAGGUUUUCAGUGCCUGAGGGACAUUCAAGUGAAGAUGCCAGAAAGAGAGCCUACCUGGCUGGAGAUCUAGAUUUCGGAACCUAGAUUAUACUCCUUUGAGGAAUUUGUUUGUUUUUUAUAUUGGAUGUAAAACUAAAUGCAUCUUCUCAUAGCAACUAUGCUGUAAAUGAAUGUAGUUAAUUUCCCAAGGCAGCCUCCAAACUCUCAUUUAGCCUACAGUGUUCUGAUAGAGCAUGGUGAAAUAUUUAUAAGAAUGUUUCUGGAGGGACUUGGAUUCACCAGGCCAAGUCAGUACUCCAGUAAAGCAUCUUUUCUUGCUCAGACACAGAAUUAGGAGUCAGACCUUAUUCUCUUUCUUAACAAAAGGGCCCUUAAGAUGGCUUAAGGGAUAAGUGUGGCUUCUUUGGUGUUGAACUAAUAUUGUUUGUAGUUUUAGGGAGACAGGGCUACAUUUUUAUUUCACAAAGUGAGAGGGAGAAUUGGCAGAUGUUUCAGGAAAGGAUAAGUGUCUAGCUUAGGUAGUGGCUGAUAGUAAUGGAGUGGAAAGUCGGAGGGAAGGACCCUGAUUAGGGUUGAAAGAGUGAGUAGCAGGAGUGAUAAUUCAGCAAGAAUAGAAUGCCUGGGAACCACAGAUUGCAGGCAGCUUUGGUGACCUUAUUAAUGAGCUUGGGACGAUAUCAACCACACAUUUUACUAAUCAGUAAUGAAGAAGAGAAGGAAGGGGAAGUGGAGUGGGUAUCUGGGAGCAAUGAGUCGGCAGGGAAAGGUGGUUCUUUGGAUACUAGAUGACUCCCUGUUAGGACAGCCAUUUGUAGGUAUGUUGAUUUAAUUUAGGAUUGCUGGUAGCAAGAGCAUAUUAUCUCAGCUCACAAUUCAAACGCUAAAGGACAAGGCAACUUGUGCAUAACUGAUAAAGGAGGAACUCUACUAUUAUGUAAAUAGACAUGCUGUCCAGGUGAUCUUACCUAUUCCUACUUUUAUAGCUUUAAAAGUCAGUUAAGCCAAGCUCAAAGGUCUGUGCCUUUAGUCCUAGCUACUAGGGAGUCUGAGACAGAAGGAUUGCUUGAGCCUAGGAGUUCAGUUCAAGUUUAUCCUGGGCAACACAGCAAGACCCCAUCUCUUAAAAAAAAAAAAAAAAAAGUCAGUUAAACAGGCCAGGCAUGGUGGCUCACACCUGUAAUCCCAGCACUUUGGGAGUUGGGAUCAUUAGGCGAGCAGAUCAUUAGGUCAGGAGUUCGAGACCAGCCUGGCCAAUAUGGUGAAACCCCGUCUCUACUAAAAAUACAAAAUUAGUCGGGCAUGGUGGCAUGCACCUGUAGUCCCAGCUACUGGGAAGGUUGAGGCAGAAGAAUUGCUUGAACCUAGGAGACGGAGGUUGCAGUGAGCCAGGAUCACACUGCUGCACUCCAGCCUGGCUGACAGAGGGAAACUCCAUCUCAAAAAAAUUUUAAAAAGCCAGUUGAAUGUUUCUUAUUCAAAAACACUUGACAGGUACAGUAAGAUAGAAUAAGUUGUAGUAUCCAAUAGUACAAUAGGGAAAUUAUAGUUAACAAUAAUUUAUUGUCUAUUUCAAAAUAGCUAGAAGAGAAGAGAAGGAUUGUUAUGUUCCCAACACAAAGAAAAGAUAUAUAUUUGAAGUGAUGGAUACCCCAUUACCCUAUUUGGAUCAAUUCACAUAGUAUACAUGUAUCAAAAUAUCACAUGCACCCCCAAAAUAGGUACAACUGUUAUAUAAGUUUUUUAAAGCACUGGAAAGAUUUAUGAAGUCUCUUUAAAAAGCUUUCUUAUCACCAUUAAGCGUUAUGGUUUUGCUUUUAUGAAAACUUUAUUGCAUAUAAAAAUAAACUGUGGUUGAUUUUGUC